CUGGCUGAAACAUGCCACAUAAUUAGAUUUUCUUUUUCUUUACCUUUUCUUUCUUAUUUUUAUAAGAGGCCCGGAAUUAGCCUCUUCGACUGGGGCGGAGUAGCUGGGGUGUGGGAAAGGAACACCUUCAUACAACUUCCAGCUUUCAGCCCCUUGGAGAGAUUUCCAAAUUCCCCAGAGCCUCUAGGACUUCCUUUCCUCGAUCUCUCGGCCACCUCCUCCUCCUUCUCCGAUCUGUUUUUUUUUCCCUCCUCCCACUGUCUUCUCUAUGGUUUAAUCAAAGUUCAGCGACUCCACUUGCCUCUCCUCUCAUUUCUUUCGGAAAGGGGAAACCAGACGACCCAGCGGCCACGGGACGAGUCGCCCCAACUCAACCCCAGCAGGACGCUGGAGGGGCCUCCCUUGCCCACCUCUCUUCGCUGGCACUGGCCUCCUGCACCCGGGUCUGCAGUCCCUCCGCCAUCUCACAAGUGUGCAGCCGCUAGGCCUGGGGGAUCCGAAUGACUGGGGCUGGAUAGGAAUGCCUUCGUGUUUCCCAAGACCCCCGGGCCUGCUCCACAAAGUUUGAAGGGAGCUCAGAGAUGCCCGGGAAGACGGGGGGCCCGAAUGGAAGCAGAAAAACACUUAUGGCCGCUGGGAAGUUGGGAGAGCCAGGCUGGGACUCCGGCAGGCCCAGGGAAAGUUCCCCUUCUAGGCUCUUUAUUAAAAAAUUUAAAAGGAGGAGUUGAGGCGCCUUGAAUUUUCCUUCGCGAGUUUGGAGACCAGCCGAUUUUUCACGAAGCAAGCAAAGACCGCGGUCCCGGAUCCUGCAACAUAUACCUCAUUUUCUCCAGGUACAGUUUUCUGGUCAUUUAAUUGGUUUGUUUUCUUGGGGGAGAUGGGAAUCACAGGCGUAGAGAUAGUAAGUUGGCUAGAGAGGAAGCCACCCCACAGUUUCGGGUCUAACGAAAUCCCUCCUUUAAAAACAUUUGUACCCCCAAUAAAAAUAAAAUUAAAGAGGAAUAUAGAAACACAAAUUAGCCAACUUUUUUAAAAGAGAAAAAAGAAAAGAAAAUCAUCGUAACAGAUGAGCGUGAGAACUUCUAAAAAAUUUGUCACGAACCCUUUCAGAGGUCUGGAUUCUUUUUCAGUAGCCGGUGACCCAUUUGGUCUGAAAAGAGAAAUACACUAUCCACUGAGUCACUUAUUUAAAGCCAGCACACACACACACACACACACACACGCACACACACACACACACACACACACACACGCACAUUCAGAAAGCCCUGGGUGCCCUCGCAUUUGAAAACAACACCGGGUGGAGGACGCUGCGAUACCUAAUUGGACAAAACAGCAAUAAAAUAAGACCAGUGGAAGUGCUGAGCACAGGGCGCAGGGCUAGGGCCCAGGUUUUGUGUUCCAGGCCGAGGGCGAGGCAGCGGCCCCGGGAGAUGGGGCGCCGGGCAGUCAGGCACCGGCUGGCGACUCUGCUCGGCCUCCGCAGCCCGGCCUGCAGCCCCUUACCCCCAGCCUCUGGGCCUCGUGGGCUCUCUACGCUCCGACGCCUGUUCGGGGCUUCCCUGUUGAGAGGGUUUUAGGCCGAAGGGCUGAACGACUCAAGCCAGACUCUGCUUUUUCAUUUUUCUCCCUUAGGCCUCUCCACUUGCCCGAGCUCUCAGCCACCAGGAGACAGACGGAAGGGGCUUCUGGGCUGUGUUGGGAGCGGGCAUUGUCCCCUACCCACUCCUGCACAGUUUCCCAAAGUCCAGCCACCUCCGACCCUCCUUGGGGGAAAAAAUACCAGUACCCAGACACCUCUGCACCCUGUUAUAUGACUGGGCUUGCUUCAGGAAUAUCUUACAAAGAAGAAGGAGGAGGAGGAGGAACGGCUUGGAGUCAUGUUUACAUCUAGUUCUACUGAUCCGUUCACAUCUGGAGAGUUUAUUUAUAACUCCCUCUAUAACUCUCUGUUUGGAGGCACUGGUGGCUCUACUGACAGACUGAUGUCUAGGAAAUAUUGCUCUAUGUCUAAUGGUACCUAAAUGUGCUGUGGUUGUAUUUACAGAUUUACGUUUGAGGGAAAUAUAAUUAUUUCCAUUGUA
rnacentral:lncRNA from 1 species